rnacentral:misc_RNA from 1 species
UUUCCGUAGGUGAACCUGCGGAAGGAUCAUUGCCACACACGAUCCAAGAUCGACACUUUUUGUGAACUGUUUACUGUUUUUGAUUGUUGAGGAUGUGUGCUCGGGUUAAACUGAGCUAUGUCUUCGACGAUUGAAAAUCUUACAACACCAAACCUAAACAAUGAAUUAUACAUUGGAACUUAAAGUCAUUGAGUGUUUACCACUUGUGACGACUAGAUUAUUAAUUGUAAAACAACUUUUAACAAUGGAUAUCUAGGCUCUUGCAUCGAUGAAGAACGCAGC